rnacentral:rRNA from 1 species
CAAUCUGGUAACUCAGUUACAAGAUAGAGGUGAGAGACAUGUUAAAUCGUGUUUCACUUUGUAUUGGUAGCCUCUUGUAGCGAAAGGGAAUCAGGUUAAUAUUCCUGAACUUGAACACGGAGAUUUGGUUGAUUCGUCAACACAAGGUGGUAACACAAGCUAUCUCAGAGACGUCAUCGGGAGUUUCGGGAAGAGUUCUCUUUUCUUUGU